rnacentral:snRNA from 1 species
AUUUGAGUGAAAUUUGCAUGUAUUUUUUGUAAUAUGCGAAUAAGCAUAUUGAAUGA